AACAUGUAAACUAUCCUUCAUUUCUGAAGCACAUUGAUCUGGAAAACAUCCAGCCAUGUACACUAUCUACAAUAUCUCGCGUCCAUUUCAUAAGAACCUUUACAUAUAGGAAGCUAUACCGAAUGUUCCUCCAAGAAUAACAGCAACAUGCCUCCUCACCUGGAUUUUGUGCCUUGGUAACUCUUGGCUUCCAGGGUUGGAUAUGUCAAAUGUUGACUCUCGCUCCUCCAUCAACAUCGCUUUUCUUGUGCUCCAUGACCAUGGCGAUGGUGGCAGGGAUUGCUGCUCUGGUGAUGGUCGGGAAAAGACUUCUGUCAAGCUUGCGGUUUUGUUGAGGGCCUUAAACACGUGCCUACUGGUGCCUACUUGAACCCACAUGCACACAUUCGUUCAUAUUGAUGACGCCUACCUAUCCUCGGUACUUUGUACUAUACACGCAUUGAUUAAUCCAGUUUCUCUCGGCAGAAACUAGACUCCUUUGGAUAACCUUUCUGAAAGACAUUUCGCCUCAGAUCUACUCUGAUUUAAAUAGAACCACGAACGUUCAGUUUGAGCGUAACAGACAGGAGCGGAGUCACCGAUUCCUUAAUGUCCUCAUAAAAAGCCGGCGGAGAGUGAAAACGAGUUCGAUGAGAUUUGAAAUAUACGAAAUUGAAUGUUGUUCAUCAAAGUUCUAAAACCAUCGAUCCAGAAUAGAUUUCCAAAGUAUUAAUGUCGAUUUAGCAUAACGACUAACACAGCAAGUGACUCCUAUGGAUUGUCCAGAUCAUAGGUAAUCUCAUAGAACAUUGUUUUUGACCGACAUAUACAUGUAGAGCCGAAACCAAAGUAUGAAUAAAAAGCAAUCGAAGCGAGAAAUGGAUCCGAUAAACAAAGGAUAAUAAAUUGAUUGCCUAUAAAACAUUGUUGUCACACUUAGCGCAAUUGUGAUCAUUUUAUUAUGAUUG